rnacentral:rRNA from 1 species
UACGUAGGGGGCAAGCGUUGUCCGGAAUUAUUGGGCGUAAAGAGCGUGUAGGCGGCCAGGUAGGUCGGUUGUGAAAACUGGAGGCUCAACCUUCAGACGUCGACCCAAACCCCCUGGCUAGAGUCCGGAAGAGGAGAGUGGAAUUCCUGGUGUAGCGGUGAAAUGCGCAGAUAUCAGGAAGAACACCUAUGGCGAAGGCAGCUCUCUGGGACGGUACUGACGCUGAGACGCGAAAGCGUGGGGAGCGAACAGG